ACAUAUUUUUUUCUAUUGCUCUUGCUAAUUACUAAAGCAAUUUUUAAAAUUUAAAUGAGGGCUUCCUCCCUCACAGCCCAUCUGCUGUGAAAUCAUCACACGCAUCCUUUUGUGACAGCUCAGGCAUUACCAUGGCAACACACUGUGAUGCGAUCAACCCUGAGUUAUGACCUCACUGCAGGACCGGGCAGGCUGGGCUGCUCUGGAGGAGGAACAAAAGUACCCCCUGCAUCAAGCCAAAUGGGCUCUGUGCUUUGAGACAGUGGGAUUUGUCCUGGAGCAGGGAGGUGAGAGCCCUCCCCAGGAUUUGCUGCAGGACUCCAGUGCUGGGCUGGGGCAGCAUCCAGCCAUAGAUGAAAAGCGCUGGAGACCAAACUCCCUAUUUACUGCUGGGAAUUGGGUACCGCAUGGCCUCUGGCAAUGCAUGCUUCACCUCUGCACCCUGCGGCUUUGCCCGGGCUCCAUCCAGCAGAUAAGAGGGCUGGGACAGCGGUUCUGCUUCCCAGGGUAUUCAUCCUCUGCCUCCCACUGAGCCUGACGCUGAGGGUGACAACUGUCGCAACUCUUUGUGGACAACUGGAGGGGAUUAGUGACCAAAGGCUGCCCCGCAGGUGUCACCGCCAGCGUUACCCAUUCUUAAUUAACCAAAGAGCUAGAUCAGAGCCCCUGCUUCAAAGUAAAGGAUUUUGUUUUCUUGUC